rnacentral:lncRNA from 1 species
GGAAGAAAACCAACCCAUGUUAACAACAAAGACAGCCUGAAACAGAAGGGGAUUCAACAGGGGAACAUCUUUUGUGCCAGGACUCAGCUGAGUUAUUGCAUUUCCUAAUCCAAAAAAGCAGAUUUCAUUAUUUUAUGCAAAGACAAAUCUUGUUAAAUGUCUGUAUUAUUUUUUCUUCUGAAAAGAAAGAGUCUACUCCUUUCUAAUACCACUUUGCAAUCAUUAAAACAUAUAAAUUAAAAAAAAUUGUCUGUAAACUCGAAGUUUGUUCAGAAGCAAAAUAUCAACCUCACAAUGAGAAA